rnacentral:rRNA from 1 species
AGCGAACGCUGGCGGCAGGCCUAACACAUGCAAGUCGAACGAACCUUUCGGGGUUUGUGGCGGACGGGUGAGUAACCCGUGGGAACGUGCCUUUAGGUUCGGCAUAACUCAGGGAAACUUGUGCUAAUACCGAAUGUGCCCUUCGGGGGAAAGAUUUAUCGCCUUUAGAGUGGCCCGCGUCUGAUUAGCUAGUUGGUUGAGGUAAUGGCUCACCAAGGCGACGAUCAGUAGCUGGUCUGAGAGGAAGAGCAGCCACAUUGGGACUGAGACACGGCCCAAACUCCUACGGGAGGCAGCAGUGGGGAAUCUUGCGCAAUGGGCGAAAGCCUGACGCAGCCAUGCCGCGUGAAUGAUGAAGGUCUUAGGAUUGUAAAAUUCUUUCACCGGGGACGAUAAUGACGGUACCCGGAGAAGAAGCCCCGGCUAACUUCGUG